rnacentral:rRNA from 1 species
GACGAACGCUGGCGGCGUGCUUAACACAUGCAAGUCGAACGGAAAGGCCCUGCUUUUGUGGGGUGCUCGAGUGGCGAACGGGUGAGUAACACGUGAGUAACCUGCCCUUGACUUUGGGAUAACUUCAGGAAACUGGGGCUAAUACCGGAUAGGAGCUCCUGCUGCAUGGUGGGGGUUGGAAAGUUUCGGCGGUUGGGGAUGGACUCGCGGCUUAUCAGCUUGUUGGUGGGGUAGUGGCUUACCAAGGCUUUGACGGGUAGCCGGCCUGAGAGGGUGACCGGCCACAUUGGGACUGAGAUACGGACCAGACUCCUACGGGAGGCAGCAGUGGGGAAUAUUGCACAAUGGGCGGAAGCCUGAUGAAGCAACGCCGCGUGCGGGAUGACGGCCUUCGGGUUGUAAACCGCUUUCGCCUGUGACGAAGCGUGAGUGACGGUAAUGAGUAAAGAAGCACCGGCUAACUACGUG